rnacentral:rRNA from 1 species
GACUAACGCUGGCGGUAUGCCUUAGACAUGCAAGUCGAACGAGUUUCCGGGCUUGCUCGGAAAUUAGUGGCGAACGGCUGAGUAACGCGUAGGUGACCUACCCCGUAGUGGGGGAUAACUGCCCGAAAGGGUAGCUAAUACCGCAUGUUGAGCCGACAUCAAUGUCGUCUCCAAAGCAGAAAUGCGCUAUGGGCAGGGCCUGCGUUCGAUUAGCUAGUUGGUGGGGUAAAAGCCUACCAAGGCGACGAUCAGUAGCUGGUCUGAGAGGAAGAACAGGCACACUGGGACUGAGAAACGGCCCAGACUCCUACGGGAGGCAGCAGUGGGGAAUUUUGGACAAUGGGGGAAACCCUGAUCCAGCAAUGCCGCGUGAGUGAAGAAGGCCUUCGGGAUGUAAAGCUCUUUUGUCAGGGAAGAAACGGUUCUGGAUAAUACCAGAAGGUAAUGACGGUACCUGAAGAAUAAGCACCGGCUAACUACGUGCCAGCCGCCGCAGUAA